rnacentral:rRNA from 1 species
AGUGAACGCUGGCGGUAGGCCUAACACAUGCAAGUCGAACGGCAGCACAGUAAGAGCUUGCUCUUACGGGUGGCGAGUGGCGGACGGGUGAGGAAUACAUCGGAAUCUACUUUUUCGUGGGGGAUAACGUAGGGAAACUUACGCUAAUACCGCAUACGACCUACGGGUGAAAGCAGGGGAUCUUCGGACCUUGCGCGAUUGAAUGAGCCGAUGUCGGAUUUGCUAGUUGGGGGGGUAAAUGCCCACCAAGUCGACGAUCCAUAGAUGGUCUGAGAGGAUGAUCAGCCACAGUGGAACGAAGACACGGUCCCAGUUCCGACGGGAGGCAGAAGUGGAGAAUGUUGGACAAUGGGCGCAAGCCGAACCCAGCCAUCCCGCGUAGGUGAAGAAGGCCUUCGGGUUGUAAAGCCCUCUUGUUUGGAAAGAAAAGCAGCAGGUUGAUACCCCGCUGUUCUGACGGUACCCAAAGAAUAAGCCCCGGCUAACUUCGUG